rnacentral:misc_RNA from 1 species
UAGCUAAGAUUUUAGCCACUCUCAUUCCACAGAAAUGGAGACAUUGCCCAGUUCAAUUGGCCACCCAGCUCAUGUGCACCCACUUACCCUCAUCCCCUCCCCAGCUUACCCUAGUGGUGCUUUCACAUGUAAUGGCUGCGGUGGCGUCGGCCGUGACUCUUGCUACCGCUGCAAUCAUUGUAACUACGAUUUACACACUGCUUGUGCUGCUGCUCAAAACCCACCUUCACUUUUUCACCAUUCUCACCCUCAUCACCAACUUCACCUCACCUUUCUGCCUCCUUACCCAUCUAAAGCCUUUUCUUGCAAUAUAUGCCAAAACAUCGGUCGCCGUUGGUCCUACCACUGUGGUCUCUG